rnacentral:rRNA from 1 species
AUUGAACGCUGGCGGCAUGCCUUACACAUGCAAGUCGAACGGCAGCACGGGAGCAAUCCUGGUGGCGAGUGGCGAACGGGUGAGUAAUAUAUCGGAACGUGCCCGGUCGUGGGGGAUAACGUAGCGAAAGCUACGCUAAUACCGCAUACGAUCUACGGAUGAAAGCGGGGGAUCGCAAGACCUCGCGCGAUUGGAGCGGCCGAUAUCAGAUUAGGUAGUUGGUGAGGUAAAGGCUCACCAAGCCGACGAUCUGUAGCUGGUCUGAGAGGACGACCAGCCACACUGGGACUGAGACACGGCCCAGACUCCUACGGGAGGCAGCAGUGGGGAAUUUGGACAAUGGGCGCAAGCCUGAUCCAGCAAUGCCGCGUGCAGGAUGAAGGCCUCGGUUGUAACGUAG